UGUUGUUGUUGAUGCUGUAGUAAUUAAAGUAGUAGUUCUGCAGAAGUAGGAGUAGUUGUUACUUUCAAAGCAAUUUCUACAAGUUUAAAUUCCUUAACCCUGUCCAUGUGGUAUACACACUGUUUUUUCUCAAUAUCAAACUCAGCCAGUCCAGGUUGUCAAAUAACAAUCUAUCUGAUAAGCCCAGCUUGUGCAGUGAGUCAGAUGUUGGGUAUGUUUGCUGCAAAUCUAUUGGUUAUAAGAUAUAACAGCCUUUUCUAAUUGGCUGAAUUCAAAUACAGAAAGUUUACCUGUUAGAUUGAAACAUGAAACAUGGUGGAAAAUGUACUGGUUUAACUUGUUAAAAUAAAGUUAAAGAAAUUUAACAAACAGAAGAGUUCAUUAGUUUUUCCAUUAAAAACACUUUUUUAAAAUACUUAUGUAUUUAUAUCAUUUGGAAAGUGACAUGAAAUAUUGUUAAAGAGUGAUGCAUACAGUGUUUGAGCAGUCUGUCUAGGAAUAGAACAACAACUGAAGUUGAUGGAAGAUACUGCAGAGUUUGGCAGGGAAAUAAUCCAACAGCAAAGCCGCUCUUUAAGCGCAUUCACCUAGAGGACUUACAGGGCCACACAUUCAUGAGCACAUGUGAGCAGUAUACAAUGUACCUCAUACCAAAAAGAACCCGGAGGCAGUGACUGGUGUUCAAUAUUCUCAGAAGAAAAGGAAAAUGGCAGUGGAAGACUUGGACAAACAUUUUUUAAAACUAGCCUCUGUGUUAAGCCUGGCAGUCUGUGGCUGGUGACAUGUUUUAUUUGGGUUACUUCUUGUAUAAAAAAGACCAGUUAUUUAUUUUGUGAAUUAUAUUUUGUGUUUGUUUUUUGUCUUAAUUUAUUAUAUUUUUUUUAAUUUAGGAAUUUGAAACUUGGAUAAUUGAAUAAAGUCCGUGUUCAACAGUACUGAGCAUAGUAUAAUAAAUAACAAAUUUACAACAGUUAUUAAUUUGUUAUGUAUUAUUAUUAACUAUGCUCAGUACUUGAAUACUGGCUGUCUGCAUGGGAAUUUGUUUUCUAGAAAGUUGGUUUCAGACUUAAAUAUUUGAAGUUAACCUUCGGAACUUUUCUAGAAUUGUACUGGAACACAUCAACUAAAACUGAACUUCUGUUAUCAUACUAAAAGUGUUCUAGAAUUAAUAAGGAACAGUUGUUGAACGUUAAAAUUUAUGAGAAAAAACUCAAGAACAAUUCUGCGUGAUGUGUGUGUGUGCAUGUAAUUGUGUGUGUUUAUGAACAUAUGUGAGAAAGGAUGUAUACUUGUCACAAGAUAAAUGUAAAAUUCUACUUCUAUGUUUUAUAUUGUGCCUUUUAUAAGUUUUUCUUUUCUUACCUGUAUAUGCGUGCAUGUUUAUGGAUGUGUUUUUGAAUGUGUGUGUGCAUGCCUGUGGUUAAGAGAGUAGGUACUUUAUGAAAAUGUAAAACCACUCAUUUUUGAAUAUGUACUGUGACUGCACGUGUGUGGUUAAUGAUUGAUGCUAUAUCUUGUUCUUGUUUAACUUCUAUGAUGAAACCUUUAGUUACAUUCACAUUUGUUUUUCAAAAUCAACGAAAUGCCUUUAAUCUAUAA